AUUGAACGCUGGCGGCAUGCCUUACACAUGCAAGUCGAACGGUAACAGGUCUUCGGAUGCUGACGAGUGGCGAACGGGUGAGUAAUACAUCGGAACGUGCCUAGUAGUGGGGGAUAACUACUCGGAAGAGGGGCUAAUACCGCAUGAGAUCUACGGAUGAAAGCAGGGGAUCGCAAGACCUUGUGCUACUAGAGCGGCCGAUGGCAGAUUAGGUAGUUGGUGGGAUAAAAGCUUACCAAGCCGACGAUCUGUAGCUGGUCUGAGAGGACGAUCAGCCACGCUGGGACUGAGAAACGGCCCAGACUCCUACGGGAGGCAGCAGUGGGGAAUUUUGGACAAUGGGCGCAAGCCUGAUCCAGCGAUGCCGCGUGCAGGAUGAAGGCCUUCGGGUUGUAAACUGCUUUUGUACGGAACGAAAAGCCCCGGGUUAAUACCCUGGGGUCAUGACGGUACCGUAAGAAUAAGCACCGGCUAACUACGUGCCAGCCGCCGCCGUAA
rnacentral:rRNA from 1 species